rnacentral:rRNA from 1 species
GACGAACGCUGGCGGCGUGCUUAACACAUGCAAGUCGAACGGAAAGGCCCUGCUUUUGUGGGGUGCUCGAGUGGCGAACGGGUGAGUAACACGUGAGUAACCUGCCCUUGACUUUGGGAUAACUUCAGGAAACUGGGGCUCAUACCGGAUAGGAGCUCCUGCUGCAUGGUGGGGGUUGGAAAGUUUCGGCGGUUGGGGAUGGACUCGCGGCUUAUCAGCUUGUUGGUGGGGUAGUGGCUUACCAAGGCUUUGACGGGUAGCCGGCCUGAGAGGGUGACCGGCCACAUUGGGACUGAGAUACGGCCCAGACGCCUACGGGAGGCAGGAGUGGGGAAUAUUGCACAAUGGGCGGAAGCCUGAUGCAGCAACGCCGCGUGCGGGAUGACGGCCUUCGGGUUGUAAACCGCUUUCGCCUGUGACGAAGCGUGAGUGACGGUAAUGGGUAAAGAAGCACCGGCUAACUACGU